CAGUCGCCGCGGUAAUACGUAGGGUGCAAGCGUUAAUCGGAAUUACUGGGCGUAAAGCGUGCGCAGGCGGUUAUAUAAGACAGAUGUGAAAUCCCCGGGCUCAACCUGGGAACUGCAUUUGUGACUGUAUAGCUAGAGUACGGCAGAGGGGGAUGGAAUUCCGCGUGUAGCAGUGAAAUGCGUAGAUAUGCGGAGGAACACCGAUAACGAAGGCAAUCCCCUGGGCCUGUACUGACGCUCAUGCACGAAAGCGUGGGGAGCAAACAGGAUUAGAUACCCCUGUAGUCCCUGUCUCUUAUAU
rnacentral:rRNA from 1 species